GGAGUAGAAACAUGCUUCUAAAAAUUUUAAGCAGAAAAUGUCUGAAGCUUUGUCAAGAAGAUGAUUCUUACCUGCUACUGCCAUACCAAAUAAUGGCAUUUCUUUCCAUUAAAAUAUUUUUAAAACCUUCUUGUUUAAAAUUCUUCUAUUUCUUUUUAAAGCAGAUGGUCUAAAUGACCAAAGCCUGUGCCAAGAUGGUUUGAUUCAUUCUUUCGGAGGAGCUGACACCUUGGAAGUGUCAACAGCUGGAUGGCUCAGGAGGAUAAAGUCAGCCGAAUUGCUCUGCUCUAUCAGUGCUGUUGCAGAUUUUUGUUGUCACAACCGGCAGAGAGACUUUCCCAGGAGGCUCAGGUAUAUAAAGGCGUGAGGCACCUGAAAACUGUCAGCCGUUCUUAUCAUCUCUGCCGUCAUUGUCCUGAGGAGCGAGGGGGAAGAGCUGGAAGUGGAUUUGCCCGCCAUUCGGCAGGGUAUUUCGUAUAUUGUGAAAUCUGGUGCUCGCAGCAGCCUUGCCGCAGGGAAGCACAGUAGAUAGAUUACUGAGUUCUUGUGGAAUGCCACUCAUACUGCAAUGAAUAAAAGGGAUUUAUAAACGAACAACUGAGCAAUCACAAUGUAAGUGAUAUAACAAAUAUAUGUCCCAAGUGCUAUGGGGGUUCUGGAGGGACACCAAUAACUUCUGACAAGGUGCAGGGACUGGGUAGAUUUCACAGCCGUGAUAUUGGAUGUAGGUCUUGUUGUGACAGUUUUUAUUAACUUGGAGGAAUUUAGGACCAGAUACAUGGGUAGCAACAAUCUAGGUUAAAGACUAAUGGAACUCAAAUUCAGACAGGGGCAGCGGAGGUGUAUUUGAAACUUUUGGGAGGCUUGUUGAAUUGACUGCCUGUAGGGGCUGAGGGGGAUGGAGGAGUCACAGUGGCGGAUAUUCCUGCUUGAACACUGAGUAAAUAUGGGUACAUUGGCUUAGGUAGGAAACCCAGGAGGAAAGGACAUUUAGGGCACAAUAAUGAAUUUUAUUCUAGACGUGGUCAAUGUGAGGUGUCCAAAUGCAAUCCUGAGGGAAUGUCCAAUGGAGGUUUGCAUAGGCAAAACUUAGAAGUAACCUCUGUGUUGAACAGAUACAUAUAGGAGUGCUAAGUGUGGCAUGUAACAUCUUUUGUGAAAUAGUCCCUGGCUGUGCAUCUAGCUUUAUCUCUUGCUAUUUACCUCUCUCGUUAUGUUUGCCAAGCUUAUUCAACUACAUGCAGUUGGAUCCUCUCUCACUUCUGGUCUUUACAAAUGCCCUUAAUUGUGCCUGAAACACCUAUUCUCUGUAAAUUGGCAGGGGUGGGGGGUGGGGAAGACCAAAAACAAAAGGAAAUAAAAUGACUGUCUCAGUGAAGAACUAACAAAUACACUGGCUUAUUGAUAUGAUGAAAUACUAUUCAAUAGUUAACAUGAAUGGAUCAGACCUUCAUUUAGAACACAAAAACCUAGUGUUGACUGAAAACAACUAAGUUGAACUGGCUAUGUACAGCAUGAUACCAUUUUUAUGGUACUGAAUACCAUACGGGUGUAGCAAAUACAUAUAUGAGUAGAAGAACUGAUAAACAUGGUGUGUUUCCAUUUAUUCAGAUGUAUUUUUAUAGUCUUCAAUAGAGAUAUAACAUUUUGGCAUAGAAAUCUUGUGCAAUUUUAUUACCAUCCAUUCCCAAUCUCCCUCUUAUUAUCCAUCAUAGAUGCAGACCAAUGUUUCUUCCUCUGUUAGGGUUUCCCCUACUUGUACCACAAGAGUGGUUGAGGUUUCCUUCUUUAUGUUUCCAUGGCCUCUUUGAGAAUAAAGGCAAUGUCUUAUUCAUGGUGACAUUUCGGACUCUUCACCAAGGUAUGGGAAGUAUAUGAUCAUAAUCAAUAUUUGUUUUUAUUUUGUUUUGCUUUUAUGGAGAAAUCAGGUCUUGCUAUGUUGCCCAGGUUGGUCUGGAACUCCUAGGUUCAAGUGAUCCUCCCACUUCUGCCUCCCAAAGUGCUUGGAUUACAGAUGUGAGUCACUGCACACAGUCAGUAAUAUUUGAAGACAAGUGUUAGUUGAGCCAUGAGGGUAAUUGAGCUCUUCUAAAGCAUGCAUAUAAAGGUAGCAAGAAAUAAGGGGAGCUCUGACAAGUACCAAAAUGUGGAGCUAAGGUUGGAGUUAUAGAGCAAAAGAAAGUUGUGAAAAGGACUGAGGACUAUAGAGAGGAGGAAAAAGAGGAGAAUCAGGAUUAAGGGGAGAGAAUUUCUAGAAGAUUGUAUAAAUGGUAUCAGAUAUCCUAGAGCAGCCAAGUGAGAUGUGGUCUGGAGUUUCUACUGCUAGAGAAAAUCAGUGGAACCCUCAUGAGAACAGGGAAGGAGCUUGACUGGGUAUCGUGUUUCUUUCCAAUGUCUUACAGCAGCUAUGGAAACUGAGAUGCUUUCUUCUUUGUAAGAGAACUUGAGUUUUUUGUUUUUUUUUUUUUUGUUUAAUCUCAAUCUUUGUCUUCCAUCUUCAUGAGUAUUUCCAUGGUGGACUUAAAUGCUUUUGAUUUACUUGUUUGCAGAGUUUCAAAAGUCCAAUGUAUAUCCAUCCAAAAGAAAGGAAUUAAUUAACAUGCAUCAGUCUAUUCAAGUGGUUUCUAGUUACCUAGAUGCCAGACUCUUUGUAUCCUAAUUUCUUAGACAAAACCUACUUUUAGUUGCCCUCUGUAUUCCAGAAGAAAAUAGGGCAUCCUCGCUUUGCACAGUUUCAAUAUGCAUGAAUUUCAGCCACCAUGCUUUAGUGAAAUAAUACCAUCCCCUAACAGCAUCAUUCAAAUUACCAUGGUGUAUUAGCUCUAAGUAGCUGCAUAAAUUACACAAUUCACUGCUAGCUCUUCAAUCCACAAAUCACUAUGCAGAUGACAGAUGCACAUCAUAAUCAGUGACCAAUCAUACAACUUAUUUCAAAGUCUGUCAGUCACUGUGUAUCUGUUACUCAGUUCAUGCACAGACAGCAAAGUGUGCUGUUGUGUUGCCUUCUUGUCUCCCACAUGAUGUUUCAUCACAAUGGAUAAUCAAAAGAGGGAACUGACCAACAAAGAUAAAACUGCAGCAAAAAAAUCCCAAAAGUGAUGAUGCUGUAAGUGAAACUUGAAUCAAAUAUAAAUGGAGUUACAGAAGAAAGAGCUCAUGGUGGAACUAUUGAUACAGCCACCAUUGAGAGACUUUAAAUAAGCAGGCAGAAAAACUUAAUGAAGGUGAAUUUAUUGACAAAAAUGAGAAAAGUGAUUUUGACCCAAAUGUCCAUUGAAUGGAUGAGCAAAAUAUGGUAUACCUAUACAAUGGAAUUUUAUUCACCAAUAGAAAGGACUAAAGUGCUGGUACAUGCUACCACAUGGGUGAACCUUGAAAACAUUAUGCUAAGUGAAAAGCCAAUCACAAAAAACCACAUAGAUUAUAUUAUUUUAUUAAUAUAAAAUGUCCUGGGCAAAUCCAUAGAGAUGGGGCUUCAGGAGUGGGAAUGAGGAGUCAUUGCUAAUGGAUAUAGGAUUACUUUUAGGGGUGAUAAAAAUACUCUGAAAUUAGAUCAUGGGGAUGGUUGCACAAGUCUGUGAAUCUACAGUUAGUCCUUCAUAUCAGUAGGUUCCACAUCUGUGGAUUCAACCAAGAGUAGAUCGAAAAUAUUCAGAAAAAAAAAUUGCAUUUGUUCUGAACAUGCACAGACAACUUUUCUUGUCAUUAUUCCUAAACAAUACAGUAUAACAUCUAUUUACAUAGCGUUUACAUUGUUAGGUAUUGUAAGUAAUCUAGAAAUGAUUUAAAGUAUCUGGGAGGAUAUGUGUAGGUUUUUUGCAAAGACUAUGCCAUUUUAUAUCAAGGACUUGAGCAUCUGCAGAUUCUGGUGUCCACGGAGGAUCUUGAAACAAAUUCCCCACAGAUCACCAAGGAAUGACUAUACUAAAAACUAAUGAAUUGUGGACUUUGAGUUUUAUGGUAUGUGAAUUAUAUCUCAAUAAAGCUGUUAUUAAUGAAAGACAAGGUACUAAAUAAAUACUAGUUUUAUUAUUU
ensembl:lncRNA